rnacentral:rRNA from 1 species
AGCUCCAAUAGCGUAUAUUAAAGUUGUUGUGGUUAAAAAGCUCGUAGUUGGAUCUCAACAGCCUUGAAGCGGUUAACUUUGUAGUUUUACUGCUUUGUAGGCUGUGCUUUUGCUGGUGGUUUAGGGGUGCUCUUGAUCGAGUGUCUCUGGAUGCCAGCAGGUUUACUUUGAAAAAAUUAGAGUGCUCAAAGCAGGCUAAAAUGCCUGAAUAUUCGUGCAUGGAAUAAUAGAAUAGGAUGUCGAUCCUAUUUUGUUGGUUUUCUCUAGACCCGAGGUAAUGGUUAAUAGAGACAGACGGGGGCAUUCGUACUGCGACGCUAGAGGUGAAAUUCUUGGACCGUCGCAAGACGAACAACUGCGAAAGCAUUUGCCAAGAAUGUUUUCA